rnacentral:rRNA from 1 species
UACGUAGGGGGCUAGCGUUGUCCGGAUUUAUUGGGCGUAAAGAGCUCGUAGGCGGUUUGUCGCGUCUGCUGUGAAAACCCGAGGCUCAACCUCGGGCCUGCAGUGGGUACGGGCAGACUAGAGUGCGGUAGGGGAGAUUGGAAUUCCUGGUGUAGCGGUGGAAUGCGCAGAUAUCAGGAGGAACACCGGUGGCGAAGGCGGUUCUCUGGGCCUUACCUGACGCUGAGGAGCGAAAGCGUGGGGAGCGAACAGG